rnacentral:rRNA from 1 species
UAACUUUCGAUGGUAGGAUAGAGGCCUACCAUGGUGGUAACGGGUAACGGGGUGUUAGGGCACGACACCGGAGAGGGAGCCUGAGAAACGGCUACCACAUCCAAGGAUGGCAGCAGGCGCGCAAAUUACCCAAUCCCGACACGGGGAGGUAGUGACAAUAAAUAACAAUACGGGGUUCUUAAGGAUCUCGUAAUUGGAAUGAGUACAAUUUAAAUCUCUUAACGAGGAACAAUUGGAGGGCAAGUCUGGUGCCAGCAGCCGCGGUAAUUCCAGCUCCAAUAGCGUAUAUUAAAGUUGUUGCAGUUAAAAAGCUCGUAGUUGAAUUUCGGGGUUAGUAGGUUGGUCAUGCCUCUGGUAUGUACUGGUCUCACUGAUUCCUCCUUCCUGAUGAACCGUAAUGCCAUUAAUUUGGUGUUGCGGGGAAUUUGGACUGUUACUUUGAAAAAAUUAGAGUGUUUAAAGCAAGCUAACGCUUGAAUACAUUAGCAUGGAAUAAUGAAAUAGGACGUUCGAUCCUAUUUUGUUGGUUUCUAGGAUUGACGUAAUGAUUAAUAGGGAUAGUUGGGGGCAUUAGUAUUCAAUUGUCAGAGGUGAAAUUCUUGGAUUUAUUGAAGACUAACUACUGCGAAAGCAUUUGCCAAGGAUGUUUUCAUUAAUCAAGAACGAAAGUUAGGGGAUCGAAGACGAUCAGAUACCGUCGUAGUCUUAACCAUAAACUAUGCCGACUAGGGAUCGGAUGAUGUUAAUUUUUUAAUGACUCAUUCGGCGCCUUACGGGAAACCAAAGUGUUUGGA